CCUUUCCUCCUCUUACAACCGAGAAGCUUGGUCCCAGGAUCCCAUCCUCUCCCAUCUCCUCAGGACCUUGCAUCAUGCUGGUCGCAUCCAUAUGCAACAUCUCUCUCAAAACUGGGCCCUUCCCACUGAUAUGCUCAGUCUCUGCCAUCUUAAAAGAUAUCUUCCCUUCAUCCCAUAAGCCCUUGUCUCCAUCUGUUUCUUCCCUUCCACAGCAUCUUGAUAGAGUUGAAUACGCACUAGCUCCAUUUCCUCAUCUUGUAUUGUCGUGUUAGUCUUCCAUUUCUCCACAGAAUCGGCCCUUGGUAAGAACCACAGGGUCCAUGUUUCUAAAUUCAAUAAUGCUUUGCAGUCUUCAUCUUGUGAUGUCACUCCCUCCUCAAAAUGCUGCCUUCCAGCUGGUGUCUGUGACAGCACACUCUCCUGAUUGUCCUCCUGUCUGUGGCUGCUCCCUCUCAGUCUCUGUGGUGGGUUGAAUUAAGCCUCCCAAAUGAUGUGAUCAAAGUCCUAACCCCCGGCACCUGGGAACGUGACCUUAUUUGGAAACAGGGUCUUUGCACAUGUAAUCAAGUUAAGAUGAGGUCAUCAGGGUGGGCCCUAAUCCAAUAACUGGUGUCCUUAUGUAUAAGAAGAUUAGGACACAGAGGGAAGAUGGCCAUGUGAUGACGGAGGCAGACAUUGGAGGCAGAGAAAACGCAUCCACAAAACAAGGAAAUCCUGAGGCUGGCCCCGUGGCCCAGUGGUUAAGUUCGCUCACUCCGCUUCGGCGGCCCAGGGUUUCGUCGGUUCAGAUGCUGGGCGCAGACACGGCACUGCUCAUCAGGCCAUGCUGAGGCGGCGUCCCACGUAGCACAACCAGAGGCACUCAAAGAAGACUGGCAACAGAUGUUAGCUCAGGUGCCAAUCUUUAAAAACAAACAAACAGGUUCUGAGGCCAAGUUCAACCAGAAGCCUUGCUUUCUCAAGACAGUGCAGAAGGAGAAGGGACCUGAGCAGCUGGAGAGAAGACCAAGGAGACCUCCUCCACAUCUAUGCUUCAGCCACGGCUUCUCCACCUGUAAAUCCUCCCCGGCUUUCCGAGCUGAGCUCAGACCUGACUCCUGCGGGGAAGCCAUGUGCAGCGGAUGCUGUCAGUGCCCUCCCACAUCCCCGGCGCUCCUCACGCCUCCAUCAGCUUCCCACUGCGGCUGCUGUCUCCCACGUGCUCUCUCUGGCUGCAAGAGUGAGUGGGGCAGAGCAGUGGAGAAUGAAUGCUCCAGGAGCCACCCUCCAGCAAUGAUGGAUGGGAGUUGGAGAAUACACAACUCAGCUUCCUCACCCCCUCAGUGACCUAGAGCAUCUUCCAGAGGCCCCAGCAGACUAAACCUCACUUGCCCACAGGAUCACGUGCUCAUCAACUUGCACCAUAUUGGCUUUUGUCUCUGUCUCAUGUCUCCCCUCUCCUACCACACUUCCUGAGGUCAUCUCCCAAAAAGACUGCUAGCCCUCAAAUCCUUAUCUCAGGGGAAAUCUAACCGAGACACUGAGUCUGAAUCACCAGCCUGGCACGGAUUCUCCAGGCAAACAUCUUACCUGACUUCACCUGAGCAACAGCCUGAUCCAAGCUUAGUCCUUAGAAGUUGACCAGAUGGCAAAUUGAAGACAAAGCUUGACAAGAAUUUGAAGGGAGGAACGUGACAGUGCUGUGGAGAGACGGGGGAAAGUCAGCCUGGCCUAGACUUCUUCACACCAGUUUGGUGGGCGGGAACAGCCAGCCUCCGCGAUGUGACUCAUUUUGUGCGACACAGAAAUCAUCCUUGCAGCCUCGUAGCUGACCUUGUGUCCCUCUAGUCUUUCAGGGAAACGCCGUCUCUAACGCACACCAGUAAAUCCGAGCCAGGCUGAACUCUGCCUAGACUACCUCAGGUCGGAGAAAUCAAGCCUGGACACACUCUCCCGGAGAAAUAUUGGUGAGUUUCAAACAACUUGCCUAUAACCAGUUAUAUAACUAGUCCUACCACUAGUAAGGAGCAGAGCUAGCAUCUGAACUCAAGUUUGUGUGACUCCAGAGCCCAUGGCCUUAAACACUGCCCUCAGCUAGAGAAAAUGGGCUUCUAGCAAAAAAGAAGAGUUGAAGUCCACAAUGACUUGAAGUCAACAAGAAUUCCUCAGUCUCUACAGAAAUAGGAAGUGUUCAACCCAGCUCUCUCACGGAGGAAGGCAGCCCCUCUAGGAAAGAGGAGAUUCGGCUUUCUAAGCUGCCAGUUCAGCAUGGCAGUGGAGGAGGCAGCAGAGAAGCAUACCUUUAAAACUGCUGAUGGGCAGAGAGGAGGCUUGUAGGGAGGCUGCAGACUGUGGACUCCAUGCAUUUUCUGGGGCGGCGUUCAUUACUCACGGAACUUUGGCAGGUUGAAGCCUGCUUACCUCUCCCGGAGGACAACUGCUCCGGCUAAUGGAAUUCUCCUGCUUUCCUAUGGCUCUGUUUUGUUAUCUUUAGGCACUGAGUGAAGUGGCAUGUGCCAGUGGGGGUGGCAGCUGCCCCUGCUGUUACUGUCCUGGCAUGGCUAUGACCCUUCUUUCUGUAUCAGCAUCAAGAGGAUGCCGUCGUCCCAUGACGCCAAGCAAAGCCCGCCGCCCACCUCACAGAGAGCACCAGGUUGUCUCCAAAUCCUUUCCUUUCGCCAUUAACUGUGAAACACCCAGCACAGGAGAUGAAGGUGAAAAGACCAGUAAAUGAAUGCAUUUCUGCAUCCUGAUGUUACUAUAUUUGACACCACAAAAUCAAGAGACUGGCUGCCACAGACUUAAUAGCUCCAUGAAUUGGACAGGUAGACCCGAGCCACAGGGCACCAUGGUCCUCUCGGCUUCUCCCUGCUGCCAGCUCCACGGCCGACAUCGCCACUGGAGGCUCAGUGCGGGGGGAGUCACGAAGCCUGAGAGCCCUGUGCUCUGAGCAUCGGGCUCCAACUGGAAAACAGGCUGCUGCCUUCCUUUCCUUCCAGGCAAUAACGUAGCAGGAACUGAAGGAUUCUUAAAAGGAAAAUGAACAGCAGAAAGAUUGGUGCCAUUGCUAUUUCCAGCAGACCGAACAGCCUACAGAGAAUCGUCAAGAUGGGCAAACUAACAUGGACAAAAUGUUGAGUUUUCCACAUCAACAGUAAAGUUCCCCUUAUAAAUGAAAGCAAGACUCAUUAUCUUGUAGCUAGAACUUUAGAUUUCAUAGAGGUUUUCCCAUUUUUUUAAAUUAUACUUUCCACAGUUUUUACCCACGGGGUAACUAACUGACUAAUGUACUUCUCAUCUUAUUUCCGGCCGAAUUAGCAGACAGAGUGAUUACCUGCUACCAGACACACAGUAAGUCAGUGGGAAAAUCUAAAUUAGAACUCAAUGCCUUUUGAGUUCUCAACUUCCUUUUCUCUGUUGAGCCACACAGAUAAGAAUAUUCAAUAGACCAGGAAAUGUGCGUGGCCUCACUGCAAAUUCUACAAUUUUAUAAAUCUUUCAGGAAAUUUUUGAAACAUCAUAAACCAUAAAGUCAUAUUUUGAGUAGUUUGUCACCAGAUCUUCCAGGAUGCCUACCACAGCAUGGCGUGCCAAGCGGUGCCACGUCCACACCCAGGAUCUGAACCGGCGAACCCUGGGCUGCCAAGAAGCGGAAUGUGUGCACUUAACCACUGGGUCACUGGGCCAGCCCCAGAAACAUCCUUUUAAUAUUCAACAGAUCUUUACUAAGGCCUGCUCCCACCUCUGGACUUGGAACCUGUUCCCUCUGCCUGGAAUGUCUGUCCCCCUCUCUGCAGGGGGCGGCUAACUGCCUCCCCCUCCAGAAACAGGACAAAAGGGCAGCUGCUGAAACAUUUGGCUGUGCCGAGGGGUAGUGGGCUCAACGUGCUGGAGCUCUGCACAUGACCAGCUUGAGUUUGUAUCCACAGCUACAGGACAGGACUUUAUGGAAGCACUUUGCCAAGCCAUGUGGUGUUCGGCUUCCCUUUGCAUCAAUACCCUUUUAAUUACCUGAUCCUGAGGGGACAAAAGUUAGAGAAAAGUGUCAGUGCAAAAGCCUAGGAACCCGCCGAGAAUCCAAUUUUUUUUUAAAUCAUUAUGGUACACUGUCUGGCAAUUAUUCUACAGAACAUCAAUAUAAAUCCUGCAACUGGCCUGCGAAGAUGCUCUCUGUUGAGGAAGUCACAACUGGAAAUUUGGUCAGAAGCAGGGACUGCUCUUUCAAAGCAAAAUCAUACUCAAGGCUCUUCGCUGGAACACUCUGGAAAGGCAAGGAGCUCUCCUCUCAGCAGCAGCCUGCAGUCUGAGAGGAACCUGGACAAGCUGCUUUGAGAGACAAGCAUCAAAGAUCCUUCAGGAAGAGACUGAAGCAAGACCUAUCUUUUAUUUCAUCUGACACUGUCUUUGGUUUCUUCAUUAGGGUGACACGUAGAUCCCUGAAGUCUUGCUCUCCGAGUAAACGUGAGCUUGGUCCAAAGAAGGAGUGUGCUCUUUCCCAUCAUUGUGCUGUUUUGUGGUCAGAGGUGCAGAGAAAAACUUAAGAAGUGUCAAACCACCUCAUUCCUAGGAAUAGUAGCUGAAAAAGCCUCUUCUUUCAGCACCAGUGGAAAAGAGAAAGAGAGAUUGGUUAGACAUGAAAUCUCCUAAGAUUUCUUAUGCUCUGAGACUGUGUUUAGAGAAGAAAGCACACGAAGGGUGCUUCCUGAAUAUGCACAUGCCAGUCAUUUGGUAUUCCACACGUCCUGCUAUCCAAGGUCCAUUAACAAACCACUGGAUGACUAAUAAACCAGUAUCUAUUUGGCACCUACCACACAUGAAGAAAUAUGCUAGAUAUUGUAACAUCUAAU
ensembl:lncRNA